rnacentral:rRNA from 1 species
CCUACGGGAGGCAGCAGUGAGGAAUAUUGGUCAAUGGACGAGAGUCUGAACCAGCCAAGUAGCGUGAAGGAUGACUGCCCUAUGGGUUGUAAACUUCUUUUAUAUGGGAAUAAAAUGUUCCACGUGUGGGAUUUUGUAUGUACCAUAUGAAUAAGGAUCGGCUAACUCCGUGCCAGCAGCCGCGGUAAUACGGAGGAUCCGAGCGUUAUCCGGAUUUAUUGGGUUUAAAGGGAGCGUAGGGGGAUUGUUAAGUCAGGUGUGAAAGUUUGCGGCUCAACCGUAAAAUUGCAGUUGAAACUGGCAGUCUUGAGUACAGUAGAGGUGGGCGGAAUUCGUGGUGUAGCGGUGAAAUGCUUAGAUAUCACGAAGAACUCCGAUUGCGAAGGCAGUUCACUGGACUGCAACUGACACUGAGGCUCGAAAGUGUGGGUAUCAAACAGGAUUAGAUACCCGAGUAGUC